CAAACGAUGACGUUUGGUGACGUGAUUAUCGACCAGAUCGCUCUAUCACUUCGUUCGACAUUGUUUUUUUACCAGAACUAUAUUUUCUAGAACCCCGACAACGGAAGUGUCUAGAAGCCGAAAUUUCUUAUUUUCGUGUACGCCGGGCUCCGCUCGAGGUACUUAUUUUCUUUUUCGUCGAGUAAUUUACCGGCUUCAACUUUAAUGAUAAGUUUAAAAAUUGUAUUAAUUUGUAACUGCAAAAUAAAUUAC